AGGAGGAGAUACUUUUCACUGUUGGGAAUGAGCCAAGCACCAAGGAACUCUCUUGUUAUCAGCUUUAUAUACUCCUAUAUGUCUAGGAUGAAUGCUUCAGACAGAAGGUCCUGGAAGGGAGAGGCCCCAGGGGAACCUGGUCUGUCAGGAAUAGGGAAGUCAUCUCGCUGCUGCUAUUGACUGGAGAUUAUUUAACUUAUACAUGAGGUGGCAGAGAGUAAGCCUUGAGUCCCAGAAAUAAGCAGCCAGAGAGGUGGGGUUCUUGGCAACUCUGAUCUUCUGAACAGUUUCUGUAUACGUGCCAUAGAAGCAAGAUCUAGUAUUCCAUAAGGCAUCCUUUCUGUGAUGCUGAAGUUGAUGCCCGCAACUGAAGAGCAGCACCAGUAUACGCAUGGAGAAUUCUUCUGGAUUUCUGCUGUAUGACUGUGCUCUGACUCUACAUCAAGUGACCUUUUAACAUUACCUUGAUUUUGUCAUAUAGCUGAAGAUACCUCAAUGGUGAUGCUUGCUACCUUGGUAAGGGUGCUGUAAAAUAUGUUUGUACCUUAUCUUGUGUUUCUGAGAAUUAAUGACUCUAGAAAAUAGCCAAUUCCUUCAUAAAAUCUUUCAACUGUAGAUUUUGUGACCUCUUUGAAGGAGAGAAAGCACUAUUCUUAGCAGAACACUGUAGGGUGGAGGCAACCAAGGUGGUCAGCAUUGGGAAAGCAUGUUGCAUGUUGCUAGCUACUGCUCUAAGUAAACAGUCUGAUCUUUCUGACUUGCAUUCUGACAGCCUUGCUGGUGACCCGUAUGAUCAUAUUGUUUGUUUACUGAUAAAUUUUUGUGGUUUUAAGGAUGAUGCUAUUAGGAGUUCAGGAUUUGGGUGUUACAGCAAGGAAUAUGAUUCAGAGGUGAAUGUAUUGCAGAUUUGGAUGAUUUUUGCAGCCAAGAUGCUGUGAGCUGAGAGUGCUGGUAGCGUGAUAUGAAAUCCAGUGUAAAAUCUCAUGUGGCUAGGCUACUUCUUAGCACGGAAAUUAUUAGAUCAUAACAUUUUGUUUCCUUCUCCUCUCCAGAAAUAAGGAAUUUAUACAAGAUCACUAACUUAAACAAACAAACAAACCCCCAAAACAGAACAGUUUCAACUUUAGAGUGAAUAAGUCUAGCAUCUGUGUGUGAUAUUCAUGUACCUAAUUUGUAAAGCAUUUUUAUUUCAGAAAAUUUCUCCUCUUAGAAUUUCAUUGGUCACAGUGGUUAAGUUUUAUAAAACUAGUUUCUGUAAGUGGCUGCAGAGUUGCGGCUUAAUGUUCCUCUUUGACCUGCAAAAUCAAUAAGCUUGAAAAAUGCUCUGCAAUUUGAUUAGUAGAGCACCUUGAAUCUCUUGCAGAGCUGGUACACACUAUGCCAGAUUUUAAUUCUCCCUUGUGGCUCAGCCCAUAUUACAUUGCAUAAUAUUUUUUUCUAAUUUCACAUAGAAGUGUGAAGUCCGUCUUUAGAUGAUGCAUUGAACUUUGUUGUGGUUUAUGCUUACAAUAGUAUCUCUGUAUGAAAUAAAAUCCAGGCUUCUUCAAGCUUUGUCACAGAGAUGCAGGCAGUGAGUUUAGAUUUUCUGUGGAGAUAAAUCAUGAACAGAACUGAUGAAAGUUUGUAAAUACAAACAGAGACAACAGAUGAAAGUCUAUGAAUACAAAGAGAAGAAAGUCCUUUUGGGGAACUCCUUGUGCAAG